CGCCCGAGUCAUUACCCCAACCGAAAGGAGGGGGAUGCCUAAGGUAGGACUGGUGACUGGGGUGAAGUCGUAACAAGGUAGCCGUACCGGAAGGUGUGGCUGGAUCACCUCCUUUU
rnacentral:rRNA from 1 species